rnacentral:rRNA from 1 species
AGUGAACGCUGGCGGUAGGCCUAACACAUGCAAGUCGAACGGCAGCACAGUAAGAGCUUGCUCUUACGGGUGGCGAGUGGCGGACGGGUGAGGAAUACAUCGGAAUCUACUUUUUCGUGGGGGAUAACGUAGGGAAACUUACGCUAAUACCGCAUACGACCUACGGGUGAAAGCAGGGGAUCUUCGGACCUUGCGCGAUUGAAUGAGCCGAUGUCGGAUUAGCUAGUUGGCGGGGUAAAGGCCCACCAAGGCGACGAUCCGUAGCUGGUCUGAGAGGAUGAUCAGGCACACGGUAACAGAGACACAGUCGAGACACCGACAGGAGGCAGCAGGAGGGAAUCGUACGCGAGGGGCGAGUGCCUGAUAGAGCAAAAUGGGGUAAAUGAUGAUGGACUUCGGAUCGUAAAGCUAUGAUGUUGGUGAAGAAGAAAAGUGCAAUUAACAGGGAACAUCAUGACGGUACCUAAUUAAAAAGCCACGGCUAACUACGUG